CAAAAUCACACAUGUGCCGACACAGUUGUCGGGGUGCUGUCGAUAAGACUCGAACAGUCGACAACUGGGGUACAUGGAGGCUAAAC
rnacentral:sRNA from 1 species